UUUGAUGAGCUCUAUAACUGAUUAAAAUUGUAGCACUUAUUUCUAGGACAGCCUGGAUAUCUACUUCAUUUGAUAUCUCUCUCUGUAUUUAUUGUUAGUCUUGAUAUAACAAAGACCCCUCUCUCAUCUCACCUUGUGUAUAUAUAUUGCCCUGCAUUUUUCAUGCUUAUUUCAACGAAGCUCCUCAUCCUAUCUUCACAAAAAAAAAAAAACAAAUAUGGACAACUAUCCUUUUGCCGUUGCUAAACCCAACAGUAAUUCCACAACUAUCUAUCCUUUAGAACAUCUACUGCCUUCAGGUUCUAAUACAACUACCGGACCACAAUAUAACUUCUACGUGCAAAGGCUUAUUGUAAAUACAACAAUAAGAGAUGUACAUAUUUCUCCUUAUAAUGUUCCCAACGGUUACAACCAGUCUUACAAGCCGCAUUGGGCAUCAAUGUAGUUGUUAUUAUUAAUAAUAAUUAAUAAUAAACAAAAUCAACAUGUA